rnacentral:rRNA from 1 species
GAUGAACGCUGGCGGCGUGCCUAAUACAUGCAAGUCGAACGCAUUGAGAGAAGUGCUUGCACUUUUCAAUUUGAGUGGCGAACGGGUAAGUAACACGUGGGCAACCUACCUGAUAGCGGGGGAUAACGAGUGGAAACAUUCGCUAAUACCGCAUAACAAUAGAGAAGGCAUCUUCUUUAUUUAAAAGGCGCUUUCAAGCGUCACUAUCAGAUGGGCCCGCGGUGCAUUAGUUAGUUGGUGGGGUGAAGGCCUACCAAGACGAUGAUGCAUAGCCGAUUUGAGAGGAUGAUCGGCCACAUUGGGACUGAGAAACGGCCCAAACGCCUACGGGAGGCUGCAGUAGGGAAUCUUCCACAAUGGACGAAAGUCUGAUGGAGCAACGCCGCGUGUGUGAUGAAGGCUUUCGGGUCGUAAAGCACUGUUGUAUGGGAAGAAAUGCUAGGCUAGGAAAUGAGCUUAGUUUGACGGUACCAUACCAGAAAGGGACGGCUAAUACGUGCCAGCAGCCGCCGCCG